UUACCCUGUCGAUAAACUGAGGAUUCAUCAGGAGUUCGAUAAUGGGAAAUGGUUUUUUACUAAUCACAAAUGGUCUUGAAUCCACAUUCCUGAUGGUAGUGUUUAUGGUGCUGACUCUAUAAUCUUGUGUUGGUAUCUUUAAUCGCCACUCUAGUGACGGGUUCAAGGGAUGACGAACAAAUACUAUCACCUCUUCUCUUAAUAAUCUGUUACUUCUAAGUUGUUGCAAUUUCGUAUGUAUUAACAUAGCCCGAUGUCUUUGGAUAUCCUACAGACAAUUGACCAAUUGAUCGUGACUGGAGACAGUGAUCAAAUCUUGCAGAAAGCUAUUCAGCAACACAUGCGAGGCCAGGUAAUGGACACCCUGACAGAAAUUCAGGAACGUCAUGGGGCUGUUAGAGACGUCGAGAGUAAGCUUCUUGAGUUGCAGCAGAUUUUCAUGGACAUGGCAGUGUUGGUGGAGUCACAAGGUGACAUGCUGGACAACAUAGAAUCAUAGGUUUUAAGUGAUGUGGACCAUGUUCAAUCUGGAGCUGCUGCUCUUCAGAAAGAAAAGAAGCUUGAACGGAAUUCUCGAAAAUGGAUUCUAUUGAAAGGCCUCGUGAAUCCAAGUAAUGAAGAACUUUGACGAAUUUCUGCCUACUUAGAAGCCUGAAGAUUGGGAUGACAAGGAGUACAUAGAUGAUCCUGAGAUAAGAAGCCAGAGGUUGAGCAGUUAAGAAAGAGGUUUAUCCACUCUAUUGCUCCAAGAGGGCUUUCCGGUGAUAGACGGUAUGUAGUCCCUGCUUCAGGAUUUAGUUUUAGUGCACAACAGAUAUGUUAAAGUUAUCCUAGACAACACCUUA